GCCAGUGUAGUGUAGUGGUUUGAGCAUUAGACUAUGACUCUGGAGAACAAGGUUCAAAUUCCUACUUGGCCA